GACGAACGCUGGCGGCGUGCUUAACACAUGCAAGUCGAACGGAAAGGCCCUGCUUUUGUGGGGUGCUCGAGUGGCGAACGGGUGAGUAACACGUGAGUAACCUGCCCUUGACUUUGGGAUAACAUCAGGAAACUGGGGCUAAUACCGGAUAGGAGCUCCUGCUGCAUGGUGGGGGUUGGAAAGUUUCGGCGGUUGGGGAUGGACUCGCGGCUUAUCAGCUUGUUGGUGGGGUAGUGGCUUACCAAGGCUUUGACGGGUAGCCGGCCUGAGAGGGUGACCGGCCACAUUGGGACUGAGAUACGGCCCAGACUCCUACGGGAGGCAGCAGUGGGGAAUAUUGCACAAUGGGCGGAAGCCUGAUGCAGCAACGCCGCAUGCGGGAUGACGGCCUUCGGGUUGUAAACCGCUUUCGCCUGUGACGAAGCGUGAGUGACGGUAAUGGGUAAAGAAGCACCGGCUAACUACGUG
rnacentral:rRNA from 1 species